GAUCGGGUACUGACAGCACCGUCCGAACAGCUAAAGCAAAUGUUCUCAUUUUACAGCUGAACAGUAGGCCUACACUAAAAUGUGUUUCUGAAUACAAUUGAGCAUCGCCUGUUUCUCGCCUGUGGACAGUGCUUGUUUUAGGCUGUUGCUCAACAGAAUCUUAUGGAAGCCUAUUUCCGCCACUGAAAAAUAAAAAAUGUGAUGAAAACCUUGUCUUGAUAAUAAAAAUAUAUCCUUGGUCAGUCGAAAUUAUCAGAUAAGAUUUGCGCAUGCGACAGUCUCACUGGCGCUGUCUUCAAACGGAGACGGUUAGGUUUUCAAACAGGUAACUUCGGUCCAGUCUGCGCAAAUGGAGCUGGGUCCAGUACUUCGGUCGUCUGUCCCUGGCUGGUCCCUGGCUUCACCUUUCUGGCCUAACCAUUCAAAUGACAUGCUGCAAUUCUAGCCUGCACACAUAGUUCUUUAAUCAAGAGCUUGUAAGUGUUAUUACAACUACAAUAUGCUAGCUAACUUACUAGCUACAUGUAACGUAGCUAACGUUAUAGUGCCGUAAAGACCAGCUGCUAACGUUAUAUUGAUUUGAAAAGUUAUGCCGAUAACGUUGACGUGUCGUAUCUGUGCAGAGGAUUUUUGAACUGUCACAAGAUGGAUGAGCUAAGUGACUACUUAAGGUCACGGCAUGUGCCUGAGGGAGAUUUUCAGCGAAUGGAACAAGAUAAGAUUGAUGCCAGUGUCAUACACCUCAUGACAGAUGACCAGCUAAAAGAGUAUCUUCCAUCCUAUGGUGAUCGACUGGCUGUUUUUGGAUACUGCAGACGGAAGGAAAAAGAACCUUGCAGUCGCAAGUCAAAGAUCUUUGAGCGACUCAGAGGAAAGCUCUCGAGAAACAAA